rnacentral:rRNA from 1 species
UUUGUAUACCUGUCUGCGACGCUUCCGCUUUGGGUACUUUCAGGACCCGUCUUGAAACACGGACCAAGGAGUCUAACAUGUGCGCGAGUCAUUGGGACUUGAAGCUAAGCCUAAAGGCGCAAUGAAAGUGAAAGCUGCAGCAACGCGGCUGAGGGAGGAUGGCUGUCGCGUUUAACGACGCGCGGCCCGCACUCCCGGGGCGUCUCGUUCUCAUCGCGAGAAGGGGCGCACCCAGAGCGUACACGUUGGGACCCGAAAGAUGGUGAACUAUGCCUGGUCAGGAUGAAGUCAGGGGAAACCCUGAUGGAGGUCCGUAGCGAUUCUGACGUGCAAAUCGAUCGUCG